GACGAACGCUGGCGGCGUGCUUAACACAUGCAAGUCGAACGAUGAAGCCGGAGCUUGCUCCGGUGGAUUAGUGGCGAACGGGUGAGUAACACGUGAGCAAUCUGCCCUUGACUCUGGGAUAACUGCGGGAAACUGUAGCUAAUACCGGAUACGACACCUUGGGGCAUCCCAGGGUGUGGAAAGAAUUUCGGUCAAGGAUGAGCUCGCGGCCUAUCAGCGGGUUGGGGAGGUAAUGGCUCACCAAGGCGACGACGGGUAGCCGGCCUGAGAGGGUGACCGGCCACACUGGAACUGAGACACGGUCCAGACUCCUACGGGAGGCAGCAGUGGGGAAUACUGCACAAUGGGCGAAAGCCUGAUGCAGCAACGCCGCGUGAGGGAUGAAGGCCUUCGGGUUGUAAACCUCUUUUAGCAGGGAAGAAGCGAAAGUGACGGUACCUGCAGAAAAAGCACCGGCUAACUACGUGCCAGCCGCCGCAGUAA
rnacentral:rRNA from 1 species